GUAUUGGGGAUCGAUCAAAGCAGGGAACCAAGGGUGAAACCCUUGUUCACCAAAUUCAAUCAAAUUGUGUAGAAAUUUAGAAGAUAAUCAACUGCAUGAACUCGAAUCUACACCCAUCUAAGCUCGAUUUUAAAGAGGCGUAAAGGAAGAAGGACCCAAUACUAGGAAAUCGGAAGGUUCACAAGAUCGAGGUAAGUCCUCAAUUUAGGCGACUUGGCAAUUUGGAGGGAGCAUAUGCACACAUUAUGAUCAUCAAGCGCUUCCGCUGUUUCGUACUAAUGUUUUGGGUCAAAAUGCUUGUUUUGUAUAACCUCGUUAGUAGUUACACUUUUUAACACUUGAUGUUAUGGUUUUUAGUCGUGUCUAGUCGAACGGGUCGUAGACAUAAUUGUUUUGAUGAUGGUUAAAAUAGGGAUACACUCGUCUUAUGGACGGGUCAUGCCCAAAUUUUGUUAAAUUUGUGCAUUAAUGA